UGGGGAAUUUUGGACAAUGGGGGAAACCCUGAUCCAGCCAUCCCGCGUGUGCGAUGAAGGCCUUCGGGUUGUAAAGCACUUUUGGCAGGAAAGAAACGUCAUGGGUUAAUACCCUGUGAAACUGACGGUACCUGCAGAAUAAGCACCGGCUAACUACGUGCCAGCAGCCGCGGUAAUACGUAGGGUGCAAGCGUUAAUCGGAAUUACUGGGCGUAAAGCGUGCGCAGGCGGUUCGGAAAGAAAGAUGUGAAAUCCCAGAGCUUAACUUUGGAACUGCAUUUUUAACUACCGAGCUAGAGUGUGUCAGAGGGAGGUGGAAUUCCGCGUGUAGCAGUGAAAUGCGUAGAUAUGCGGAGGAACACCGAUGGCGAAGGCAGCCUCCUGGGAUAACACUGACGCUCAUGCACGAAAGCGUGGGGAGCAAACAGGAUUAGAUACCCCCGUAGUCC
rnacentral:rRNA from 1 species